GUAAAGACUAUGGAGAUUUGUAUUGCUUUGUUUGGUUUUCAUUCAUUCAUUCAUUUUUUCUUUCUUUUUAGACAUAACAAAUUGACAAAUCAUUUUGAGAGUUCACAGUUUCCUUUAAUACAGUGAAAAGGAUAUCUACAUUCACAUUGUCACUUGAUGCAUGAAAUAGUGCAUUUCAAAGAUAAUACAUUCCACGUAAGCAUGAUGAAGGAAAAAAUGUACAAAUGUACAAAUUUGAUAUUUAGCUCACAUUCAACUACAAACACGGUAUCAUUGUUCGCUAAGUGUCUCACAAUUAGAGCAUACCAGUGCUUUUUUGUUGUAAUUAGUGCAUAAAAUGUAUUGUGAAAACAGAUUAACCUCAAAUAAGUAUUCAUCUUUAGGUAAUUAAACAUUGUUGAACUUUGUUGAAACAAGAAGUAUACAAUAGCCCGCUUCACGAGAAGAGGAUAAUAUUUACAGUUAAUUAAACAUAUACAUUAGAGCUUGAUUUUUUAAAUCAACAAUUUGAAUUGAAACAAAACAGUACCAACUAUCCUGUUGUUUUCCAGAGUAGAUCAGACCAAGAGACAGGACGACAGGCUACUAACCCAAUGCAAACAACCAAGUAUGUUGUAAACAAGUAGACAGACUACAGUAAAGGAGACUUUUUUCUAAAUGGCCUCUGAUACCUUAACCAGUUGCAGAAACUAUUAAAUGGUGCUUGGUUCACGUCCCCAGGUUAUAACAGGACGUUGAGGACGGUCAUGCUUUGUGAGUAAGUUAAUGUUGGAUCAUCAGUCGAAGAAACAUGGGAGCAACCACAGAGAACAUCAGGGCUGUAUCGCCAGGCCACAAGCCGUCAGCUCUAGAAGGCGGAGCUGUAGUGGUUGUAGUGCUUGUAGUGGUUGUAGUGCUUGUAGUGGUUGGAGUGCUUGUAGUGGUUGGAGUGUCUAAGGAUAGAGAGGGUUCCAUUAGCCAAGUACGACAGGUCAUGCUGUAUACGUAUGCUACAUAUGUAAACAUGUAUGCUACAUGGGUAAACAUGUAUGCUACUGGGGAUAGAGAGGGUUGCAUUAGCUAAGUACGGCAGGUCAUGCUGUAUACAUAUGUUAAAUAUGUGAACAUGUAUAACCAUGAUUCUCAACAAUAUCGAUUUGC
ensembl:lncRNA